rnacentral:tRNA from 1 species
GCUCCUAUGGUCUAGUGGUUAUGACGCUUCGUUGUGGAGUAAAUCACGUAUACGCUACGUGAUUUCUUAUGUGACCGAAGCAGCCUGUGUUCGAUUCACGGUGGGGGCA